CCCAGGGUAGCCUAGUGGACAUGGCAUCUGCCCGGUAAGCGGAACACUGUGGGUUCGAUUCCCAUCCCUGGAU